CCUGUAUGCAACCUCAAGGGGCAAAUGAAGACACUUCAAAGGAUCAAUGAUUCCGCCUGUCGCAAUCUGGGCCUCUAGUAAACGGAUGCCAUGCUGCUUGACAAUUAGAUCUUUCUGCAGGGCUUGGAAAAGUGAGAUCUUUUGACCAGUGUAUGGAUCUGUGUAACCGGUGACGGCCCUCUCUGCAGACAAAAGCUUUUCUUGCAUCUGUGGACCAACUACCUUCUCUCUGAGAGCUUGUUCCACCGUAAGCUUCUUGUUUUUCAGAGGAUCAACAAUGAAUCCUGUGGCAGCUUGCGCUUCAAGAAGGCAGAAGGCUGUGCCAGGUGUGAGGAUGCCAAUUCUCUGUGCCUCGUAGAUGCUUAGCUUCUGAUUUGAGGGUUGAAGUAUCACACCAGCCACGCAACCUGUCCCCUGCAGGUAGGUUCUCACGCUCCCCAUUUUCAUCAGAUCUGUGCUGGUCAUCUUUCCAUCAACCAUGCUGUUGUAUGUUCUUUCAUCCACAAUGCUAAGCUGCAAAAGAUCCUUAACAGAGACUUCUCCUCUGAGACCAGCAAAGCUCAGCUCUGCUUGUUGUUGAAUCUCCUUGCUCUCAAUGAUUUCUAAAAUGGCGACGAUGAGCUGCUCAAUUGUGAUUUUCCUUGACUUGAAGAGUUUGAAAAACUCCUGUCUUUUGUCCUCCGUCACAUACUCUGAAUUAAUAAGAUCCCACAUUGUUGUGUGUUUGCCCUUGAACCUGCCAUACUUAACAGUAACUGUGGUUGUUUUCAACGUUUCCUUAAUAUUAUCAUCAAUGUUAACUCUGCUGCUUUUGCCUUUGAGUGGCAAGAGGCACAGCCCUGUGGCGGGGUCUCUGACACAUCUGGCCAUGAGCUGCAAGUAUGUCAGGUUCUCACGGGUGUUGGGAUCAAAGAAUCCUUUGGUGUCAUCACUUGCAUCACUCAGGAUCUCAUUCAUUUCCUCAUCAAAGUAUCCCUUCUUAUAGGCCACGUGUACAGGAAUGCGAUGGCUGUUUACUGGAUCAAUAAUACCACCAGUGGCAAUCUGUGCCUCCAGAAGUCGAAUUCCAUGGUCUUUUAGGAUGAGAUCCUUUUGCAUGGCUUGGAACAAGGAUAUGAUUUGGCCAUCAUAUGGAUUUCUGUACCCGAUGACCGCUUUCUCUGCUGAGCGCAACUUUUGACACACAUCGGGACCCACUAUCUUUGCUUUGACUGCAUCAUCCACUGAAUACUUCUGAUUUCCAACAGGGUCGAUUAUGAAACCUGUUGCUGCCUGUGCCUCUAGUAGAAUCAGAGCCGUUCCUGGCAUCAGCUUCCCUUUUUGUUUGGCCUGGUAGAUGGUCAUGAUCCGAGAAUCAGGAAGCAGAAUUCCUGCAAUGCUGUCUUUCCCCUGUCAUUUUAGUUUGCCAGUCAAUGAAGUUGAAAUUCUGCUCGUUGGAUUUCCCAAAGAGUGGGAGGAGACACAGUCCAGUGCUGGGAUCAAUGACGCACCUUUGCAUCAGCUGAAGGUAAGUUAGAUUAUCUUCUGUGUUUGGGUCAAAGAAACCCUUUGUGUCGUCCCCCGAAUCCUCUAGGAUGGCGUUCAUUUCUUGAUCAAAAUAACCUUUCUUGAAGGCAACUUCUGUUGGUAGUCUGUGACUGUUGAUAGGGUCUAUUAUUCCACCCGUGGCAAUUUGGGCCUCAAGUAGGCGGAUCGCAUGUUCUUUAACAAUGAGGUCUUUCGACAGUGCUUGAAACAGGGAUAUGGUUUCCCCUGUGUAUGGGUCUUUGUAGCCAGUCACUGCUCGCUCAGCAGAACGCAGCUUUGUAUGAUAUUCAGGGCCAACAAGUUUGUUUUUGAUUGCCUCAUCCACGGUGAACGUCUUAUUUUCCACAGGAUCAAUCAUGAAUCCAGUUGAAGCUUGCGCCUCCAGUAGAAUCAGGGCUGUUCCUGGCAUCAGUACACCUUUUCUCAUGGCUUCAUAAAUGCUCAUUCUCUGAUUGGAUGAGAGUAGAGCAAUGCCUGCAAUACUUCCUUUGCCUUGCAGGUAGUCUUUUACUGUUUCCAUCAACAUCACAUCCUGUGUAGUGGUAUUUCCCUUCUGUAGGUCAUCAAAUGUUUUCAUGUCAAUGAUCUUUGAUUCAAGGAGCUGAUUGGAGGAAAUCCCUUUUCGCAAGCCUUUGAACGUGACGGAAACAGGAAGGAGCCGCAGGCCUGUGUCAGACUCCAAAGUGCAUUUCUCAAGGAGGUUUCGGUAGUUGAGAUGUUUUUGUAGGCUUGGACUGUAGUACACUUUGAGCUCCGGCAUCUUGUCAUUGAGCAAACCCUUUUCAUAGAAGCCUUUUUCAAUCGCAGAUUCAACUGAAAUAUUUGAUUUCUCAAUGGGAUCAAACAGGCCUUUUGUGGUGAUCUGUGCUUCCAGAAGCCUCAAUCCAUACUCUCUGGGGACUAAAUCUUUUUGCACAGCUUGGUACAAGGAUAUCAUUUGGUCGGUGUAUGGGUCUACAUAGCCAUUAACAGCUUUCUCGGCUGUGAGGAGUUUCUCUUUCAUCUCCGGUCCAACUAUUCCCUCCGUAACAGCAUCAGCAACACGAAGGGUUCGAUUGUUUAUUGGGUCGACGAUGCCCACUGUGGCAGCUUGUGCCUCCAGCAGGGCCACUGCUGUUCCUGGCUGAAGAAGACGUUUCUUCAUUGCUUGAUAUAUGGUAAUCUUCUCCUUUUUUUUCUCCAGAAACACACCAGCCACAGGUCCGUGGACCUCCGUGUGGCCAUUUUUCUGUGAAUCCAUGUUGUCCUAUAGAGCUGUAUGACAAAAAACUGUUGCUUGAAUUGGUUUUAGAUAAUGCAUGCAUUGUCUAUACAUAACAUUAAUAAUAUGUCGUGGCCUCUAUAACGUUUCAUAGACAGAUGUGGACAGAUGAUAGCUCUGUACAGUGUUGGAAAAAUAUAGUUAUAUCAUGGUGUUAUUUAUGUUGCUAUUGAAUACAUUUGCACUGAGAGGUGCUGCCAUUUUCUCAAAUGAAAAGAUUCCAAGCUUGUAUUGUUUGUCUAAGAAUUUGCAUUUUGUACUGUUUGUUAUAUAAAGUAUGGAAGCCCAUUUCCGCCACAAAAAACAACAACAAAAAAACAAAUGAGAUAAAAAGUCAACUUAAGACUUAAGAAAGUCGAAAUUAUGAGAUAAAAAGUCGAAAUUAUGACUUGGUUGGUGACUACGGUCUACGGUCAAUUUAACAACCUCUCGCUGACCAGUUAUUAUUUUGAUUUUUUUUGUGGCGGAAAUGGGCUUCCAUAUUAAAGUUAUCAUUUAAGACCAAAGUGUGUAAAUGUGUAAAUGCCUAAAUGACCUGAAAUACCUGUAAAGGUGGGAUUUAGUUUGUUCAGUUUGAGAUUCUAAAUGUAAUGCCUUAAGAUCUCCAGCCUGUGGCCGAAGAUACAAAGGUAAAGAUAUUUUCACAUCCAACUUUACUCAUUACGCUUUACUAAUUUCCACAGAUAUUGGAAUCAAGGAGAAAUUGAAAUAAUGAUGACAGAGGGUCAUCAUUUUGCUCUCCCCUCAGAGUCAGAGAAGAGAACUUGAAUUGCAGCCACAAGAAAUUCUUUUGGCUGUCAUUCAAGUUCUCUGUGUUUAAAUAGGUGUUUUCCAAACCUUUCGGUUUCCUUUUGGCUGUGUGGGCAGCCUCGGGUCCUCGGGGGCUCUGCG
ensembl:lncRNA